ACGUAGGUGGCAAGCGUUAUCCGGAAUUAUUGGGCGUAAAGCGCGCGUAGGCGGUUUUUUAAGUCUGAUGUGAAAGCCCACGGCUCAACCGUGGAGGGUCAUUGGAAACUGGAAAACUUGAGUGCAGAAGAGGAAAGUGGAAUUCCAUGUGUAGCGGUGAAAUGCGCAGAGAUCCGGAGGAACCCCAGUGGCGAAGGCGACCUGCUCGGCCUUGCCUGACGCUCAGACGCGAAAGCAUGGGGAGCGAACGG
rnacentral:rRNA from 1 species